rnacentral:rRNA from 1 species
AACGAACGCUGGCGGCAGGCUUAACACAUGCAAGUCGAACGCAUCGCAAGAUGAGUGGCAGACGGGUGAGUAACGCGUGGGAACAUACCCUUUUCUACGGAAUAGCUCUGGGAAACUGGAAUUAAUACCGUAUACGCCCUACGGGGGACAGAUUUAUGGGGGAAGGAUUGGCCCGCGUUGGAUUAGCUAGUUGGUGGGGUAAAGGCCUACCACGGCGACGUUCCAUAGCUGUUCUGAGAGGUUGAUCAGCCACAUUGGGACUGAGACACGGCCCAAACUCCUACGGGAGGCAGCAGUGGGGAAUAUUGGACAAUGGGCGCAAGCCUGAUCCAGCCAUGCCGCGUGAGUGAUGAAGGCCUUAGGGUUGUAAAGCUCUUUCACCGAUGAAGAUAAUGACGGUAGUCGGAGAAGAAGCCCCGGCUAACUUCGUGCCAGCCGCCGCCGUAAAAC